CUUAACUGGGCCAUUGCUAACGACCCAAAGCCUUUCCUGGUGGCUGCCUUAACUCAUCGCUGGACCCUAGGGACAGAGAGUUAAGCGUGAUCUUGAUUGAGCCUCAAGCAAAUUUUGUAACUUGCCUGGGUCCCUUUGAAGUCGUUGUGAUGAUAUUUACCUCUGGGAAUGAUUUCCAGACAUCAAUGAGGGGGAAAAGGAAUCAGGCACACGUACGUUCGUGCUUUCCUGGCAGGAAUUUUACAAUCAAGAUACAUGCUUACCCAGCGGACUGAUGACUGAUGCUUUAAAGAAUUCCUCGGACCACAUGUGGAGACACGGAAGGUGACAGAAUAGUCUGAAGCAUGCACACUGCCUAGGGAGGCGCAUCAACACUCCAGCUAAGAGAUGCUAAUGGCUACUACUGCACAGAGGUAUCAUACAGAAGGUGAGAAAUGGAUGCCUGAUAGAACAGUAGAAGCAGCGUUCAGGUGACUCGCUGAAGAGUUAGAGACAGAACAGGAAGAAAGGGAAGAAUCAAAACCAGCUCCCAGGUUUUGCCCCGUGUCUUGGGCAGCUUAGUGCCCCCAUUUCUCCAAUGGUACAGCUUGAAUACUUCAAAGUAAAAAUAGUUGGCUAGAGGCUUUCUCUACGUGAGGUUAUAAAUGAGGCAGUCUGAACAAGAUAAAAUAGAUUCUAUUCAAAACAGC
ensembl:lincRNA Gm26671 predicted gene, 26671